UGUCUGUAUGUAUGUGUCUGUGUGUGUCUCUGUAUUUAUGUGUGUCUCUGUAUGUAUGUGUCUGUAGGAUACAGACACAUACAUACAGAGUCACACAGAGACACAUACAUACAGACA